ACUUUGAAGUGGUCACCAAAGAGAUCAGUUAGAAGAACUGAUCUGCAGUGUGUGACAGACCAGGAAAGUAAUAUCCAGAGGAUUGCCACCAUGAAGUUGUCCUUUUUAGUGGAGAGGAAGCAGGAGACCAGAGAGUGACCAAGGAUCUGUCCAUUUAGUUCCAGGAGAUAUGACUGCCAGAGUGGUAUCCUUAGUGGGCUGAAUGUUCAGUGGUCUUACUUUAGUGACCAAGCAACAAGACAGUAGGGCAUGGUCAGUAACUUUCAGUCAAUUUUUGCUUACUAGGAUAAAGCAAAAAUAAGCUUAUACAUUUUUAGAUACAUUUUUUGUAACUUGCUGAGUACCCAAGGAAAGUGUGCUUGUAUUUAUGAGCGUCUAUUUUCAGAGCACUAAUUAUUGCUGAAUUAGAACAGAAAUAUAGGAAAACUGAUUUUUACAAGGAGCUUCAAAGCAAUCUCAGGUAGUUUCUGAUUAUGUAUCUCUGCCUACCUCGGGGUACAUAGACAGGGUUACAAUUUGGUUGAGGAUAUAUGACAUGUGGUUUUUAAAGACACCUAGGGGCAUUUUAAGAAAAUUUCCUCGAUAUCUGAAAAUCUGUAGAUUUCAAAAUUAUGUUAAUCAUGAAAUAUUCUGUGUUGUAAUUUUUGUGUAGGUGUAUUCCAGAGCAAAUGAAAAAGAGCCUUGCUGUUGGUGGUUAGCUAAAGUGAGGAUGAUAAAGGGUGAGGUAGGAAAAUGCCUAUUUAAAUUUUUUUCUUAUAUUGUUUCCUUUUUUUAAACCCAGGUUGUACAUUCCCGUGUGGAUUUCUAUUUUGAAGUAAUAUCUAAUUUUGAGUAAUUUAAUUAAAAUGUUUUCACUAUGUGUUCAGUAUGUUUCCGUUGGUCAUAAAUUUUUUCACAUAGAUUAUUUAUUUUAAAAUAACUGAAUAGGGAGAACUUCUUAUUCUUACUUUAAAAAUUGUGAUUAGAAGUGACUUUUAUUUAUUUCUCAGUUUUAUGUGAUAGAAUAUGCAGCAUGUGAUGCAACUUACAAUGAAAUUGUCACAAUUGAACGUCUAAGAUCAGUUAAUCCCAACAAACCUGCCACAAAAGAUACUUUCCAUAAGAUCAAGCUGGAUGUGCCAGAAGACUUACGACAAAUGUGUGCCAAAGAGUCGGCACAUAAGGAUUUUAAAAAGGCAGUUGGUGCCUUUUCUGUAACUUAUGAUCCAGAAAAUUAUCAGCUUGUCAUUUUGUCCAUCAAUGAAGUCACCUCAAAGCGAGCACAUAUGCUGAUUGACAUGCACUUUCGGAGUCUGCGCACUAAGUUGUCUCUGAUAAUGAGAAAUGAAGAAGCUAGUAAGCAGCUGGAGAGUUCAAGGCAGCUUGCCUCGAGAUUUCAUGAACAGUUUAUCGUAAGAGAAGAUCUGAUGGGUCUAGCUAUUGGUACUCAUGGUGCUAAUAUUCAGCAAGCUAGAAAAGUUCCUGGGGUCACUGCUAUUGAUCUAGAUGAAGAUACCUGCACAUUUCAUAUUUAUGGAGAGGAUCAGGAUGCAGUGAAAAAAGCUAGAAGCUUUCUCGAAUUUGCUGAAGAUGUAAUACAAGUUCCAAGGAACUUAGUAGGCAAAGUAAUAGGAAAAAAUGGAAAGCUGAUUCAGGAGAUUGUGGACAAGUCAGGAGUUGUGAGGGUGAGGAUUGAGGCUGAAAAUGAGAAAAAUGUUCCACAAGAAGAGGAAAUUAUGCCACCAAAUUCCCUUCCUUCCAAUAAUUCAAGGGUUGGACCUAAUGCCCCAGAAGAAAAAAAACAUUUAGAUAUAAAGGAAAACAGCACCCAUUUUUCUCAACCUAACAGUACAAAAGUCCAGAGGGGUAUGGUACCAUUUGUUUUUGUGGGAACAAAGGACAGCAUCGCUAAUGCCACUGUUCUUUUGGAUUAUCACCUGAACUAUUUAAAGGAAGUAGACCAGUUGCGUUUGGAGAGAUUACAAAUUGAUGAGCAGUUGCGACAGAUUGGAGCUAGUUCUAGACCACCACCAAAUCGUACAGAUAAGGAAAAAAGCUAUGUGACUGAUGAUGGUCAAGGAAUGGGUCGAGGUAGUAGACCUUACAGAAAUAGGGGGCACGGCAGACGCGGUCCUGGAUAUACUUCAGGAACUAAUUCUGAAGCAUCAAAUGCUUCUGAAACAGAAUCUGACCACAGAGACGAACUCAGUGAUUGGUCAUUAGCUCCAACAGAGGAAGAGAGGGAGAGCUUCCUGCGCAGAGGAGACGGACGGCGGCGUGGAGGGGGAGGAAGAGGACAAGGAGGAAGAGGACGUGGAGGAGGCUUCAAAGGAAACGACGAUCACUCCCGAACAGAUAAUCGUCCGCGUAAUCCAAGAGAGGCUAAAGGAAGAACAACAGAUGGAUCCCUUCAGAUCAGAGUUGACUGCAAUAAUGAAAGGAGUGUCCACACUAAAACAUUACAGAAUACCUCCAGUGAAGGUAGUCGGCUGCGCACGGGUAAAGAUCGUAACCAGAAGAAAGAAAAGCCAGACAGCGUGGAUGGUCAGCAACCACUCGUGAAUGGAGUACCCUAAACUGCAUAAUUCUGAAGUUAUAUUUCCUAUACCAUUUCCGUAAUUCUUAUUCCAUAUUAGAAAACUUUGUUAGGCCAAAGACAAAUAGUAGGCAAGAUGGCACAGGGCAUGAAAUGAACACAAAUUAUGCUAAGAAUUUUUUAUUUUUUGGUAUUGGCCAUAAGCAACAAUUUUCAGAUUUGCACAAAAAGAUACCUUAAAAUUUGAAACAUUGCUUUUAAAACUACUUAGCACUUCAGGGCAGAUUUUAGUUUUAUUUUCUAAAGUACUGAGCAGUGAUAUUCUUUGUUAAUUUGGACCAUUUUCCUGCAUUGGGUGAUCAUUCACCAGUACAUUCUCAGUUUUUCUUAAUAUAUAGCAUUUAUGGUAAUCAUAUUAGACUUCUGUUUUCAAUCUCGUAUAGAAGUCUUCAUGAAAUGCUAUGUCAUUUCAUGUCCUGUGUCAGUUUAUGUUUUGGUCCACUUUUCCAGUAUUUUAGUGGACCCUGAAAUGUGUGUGAUGUGACAUUUGUCAUUUUCAUUAGCAAAAAAAGUUGUAUGAUCUGUGCCUUUUUUAUAUCUUGGCAGGUAGGAAUAUUAUAUUUGGAUGCAGAGUUCAGGGAAGAUAAGUUGGAAACACUAAAUGUUAAAGAUGUAGCAAACCCUGUCAAACAUUAGUACUUUAUAGAAGAAUGCAUGCUUUCCAUAUUUUUUUCCUUACAUAAACAUCAGGUUAGGCAGUAUAAAGAAUAGGACUUGUUUUUGUUUUUGUUUUGUUGCACUGAAGUUUGAUAAAUAGUGUUAUUGAGAGAGAUGUGUAAUUUUUCUGUAUAGACAGGAGAAGAAAGAACUAUCUUCAUUUGAGAGAGGCUAAAAUGUUUUCAGCUAGGAACAAAUCUUCCUGGUCGAAAGUUAGUAGGAUAUGCCUGCUCUUUGGCCUGAUGACCAAUUUUAACUUAGAGCUUUUUUUUUUUUAAUUUUGUCUGCCCCAAGUUUUGUGAAAUUUUUCAUAUUUUAAUUUCAAGCUUAUUUUGGAGAGAUAGGAAGGUCAUUUCCAUGUAUGCAUAAUAAUCCUGCGAAGUACAGGUACUUUGUCUAAGAAACAUUGGAAGCAGGUUAAAUGUUUUGUAAACUUUGAAAUAUAUGGUCUAAUGUUUAAGCAGAAUUGGAAAAGACUAAGAUCGGGUAACAAGUAAUAACUUUUUUUUCUUUUUUUUCUUUUGUUUUUUGAAGUGUUGGGGUUUGGUUUUGUUUUUUGAGUCUUUUUUUUUAAGUGAAAUUUAUUGAGGAAAAAUAUGUGAAGGACCUUCACUCUAAGAUGUUAUAUUUUUCUUAAAAAGUAACUCCUAGUAGGGGUACCACUGAAUCUGUACAGAGCCGUAAAAACUGAAGUUCUGCCUCUGAUGUAUUUUGUGAGUUUGUUUCUUUGAAUUUUCAUUUUACAGUUACUUUUCCUUGCAUACAAACAAGCAUAUAAAAUGGCAACAAACUGCACAUGAUUUCACAAAUAUUAAAAAGUCUUUUAAAAAGUAUUGCCAAACAUUAAUGUUGAUUUCUAGUUAUUUAUUCUGGGAAUGUAUAGUAUUUGAAAACAGAAAUUGGUACCUUGCACACAUCAUCUGUAAGCUGUUUGGUUUUAAAAUACUGUAGAUAAUUAACCAAGGUAGAAUGACCUUGUAAUGUAACUGCUCUUGGGCAAUAUUCUCUGUACAUAUUAGCGACAACAGAUUGGAUUUUAUGUUGACAUUUGUUUGGUUAUAGUGCAAUAUAUUUUGUAUGCAAGCAGUUUCAAUAAAGUUUGAUCUUCCUCUGCUAAAUUGAUGUUGAUGCAAUCCUUACAAAUGAUUGCUUUUAAAAUUUUAAGCUAGGAAAAGAAAUCUAUAGAAAGUGUUCUGUUACCAAAUGUAACUGUUACCAUUGGAAAUUUCACGUCAUAGGAAGUUAGCCUUUAUCUACCAACUUUCAAGAACUUGUUUAAUAAAGUGAAAAACUCAACCAAAUGGUACAAAACCACAGUGUACCAUUAAAAUAUGCACUAAGUCUCUUUUUUACAAAGGCUGUAUUCAGCAAGGCGCUAACUUGCUUAAAUGUGAAUUACUAACUUCUAAAACUGUACUUUGAUUCACAUGUUUUCAAAUGGAGUUGGAGUUCAUUCAUAUUACAAUAUUUGUGUGCUAAACGUGUAUGUUUUUCAGUUCAAAGUCAUGAUGUUUUUAAAAUCUUAUUAAAGUUUCAAAAAUCUGAAGAUUGUUUAUCUAGAUGUAAAUUUUUAUUAAAAAGUUGCACUUAUGAAAAAGC
rnacentral:sRNA from 1 species